rnacentral:rRNA from 1 species
UAUAGCAGCCAUAUCACCCUGCAACUGGCAACUCACUGAAGCUAAGCAGGUGUGAACCUGGUCAGUACCUGGAUGGGGGGACACGCUGGGAAAAACUAAGGUUGCUGCUGGAU